rnacentral:lncRNA from 1 species
AUUUCCUGGGGGAGACUAACCAGCCCAAAGCCCAGCGGCCCAGGAAGGCUGAGUCGCUGCUGGGGAAGAAAUGGAAAAGUGGGUGGGAAGAGGAAUGGAAUGGAGUGUCCUGGGAAAGGAUGCCGAGUGGGAAGAUCCCAGGUGGGCGUCUAAGAGAGUUCAGCUGAACGGGGCCACAUGGGGUCUGCAACUCAUCUCCUCUACCGAGUCUUAAACCGUUUGCGUUCAGGUGUCCUUUGACCAGCUACGAUUGGCCCAACAGCCAUUCCUGGACCAGGGAAGCCUUGCCACGGUGGUUCAUGCACUGAUGACUUCAGGACUGAGUUACUGCCAUGCGCUCUAUGUGGAGCUUCCCCCGUGUCUGAUCCAGAAGCUGUAGCGAGUGCGGGAUGCAGCAGCACAAUUGCUGGCCACAGUGAGACCUCGUCUGCAUAGGAAGUCUGGGCUCAGAGGUCUGGUUACCCGUUUGAGUUCAAGCCAUUAAUCUGAGCCCGUGGGGAGGGGUCUCUUUCUCCUCCUCUGGGCAGCCUGUCCAUCUUUGAGAGUUAAUAUAGGAUGGAUAUGACAGGAAGUGAUGUUUCCACCAUAAGCGGAAGAAAGAGAGCUGCUGUCCUCCCUCGCAGGGGUGGCUGUGGACCUGCUCAAGAAAACUGCACGCCUCGGGGGCAAGGGAGGAUGAGUUUGGAGCCCCUCCCUCCUGGGAGAAGCAUGCGACCAGUGGGCGGAGCCUCUGCGCACACCUGGGGGGCCCUCCUCCCUCCCUUCAGAAUCCCAACUGCCACCUGCCACCUGAGCUGUGGGGGGGUGGGGGUGUCCAGCUUGUUCACAUCUGCUCAGAAACGGUUAGCGUUAGAAAGAAUGUGUAUGGUGGUAAAUGUUUUGGAAGAUUUAACAAAAAUUAUAUGGGGGGGGGGAUGGAAACGGUUAGUGGAGAGGGAGGACCCCUACGAAGAGAGGUUGUGGGGAGCAUUGAAGGGACAGAAUACCCAAAUCCUGUCUGUGAAAUCACCCCAGGCUUCAAUAAUCAUACCAGGCCUCAAAACUGUCCAAAAUUCCUUUUGUCUUCUAAAAAUCCAAAACAGCUUUUCUCUGCUUGUCUCUGCUUUUCUCACAAAAUGCUGUGCAUAGGCAAAAUGUUACUUUUAAAGGCUAAUGAAUAGGCUCUGGCAUUGCCAAGAAUACUCAGGCCUGGGAAAUGAAUCUUAUCUCAUUCUAGUUGCAACAUCUUUGGACAUGCUGAACCACCAGGUCUCCUCAACCCCUUGGCUUUCAUUCCCCUUUCCUGGGAAGGGUGCCAAGAGUCCACAAUAGUCCCAAGACAGCUUUCUGUUCAUGCUCAAAGGAACUCAUGGGCAGGACUCUGGAAGGAGGAGGAGAAAGGAGGAGGGAACUGGAAAGGGGUCUAUAUGUUUGUGCACAUGACUGUGAACUUUGUGCAUGCUUUUGUGGACUAUCACACGUGCUCCUUCUACCAGUUCAUGGAUGGUAGAACUAAAACCUUUUUCUCCGCAGCGAUGCCUUGAGUGUCUGUGGACUCCCAGUUCCCUUUCCCAGGCGCAAUGUUUUUCCCACCCGAGGGCAAAGCCUCAUAAGGCUACAGCAUCAGUGUAAGGGGGUGGGGGGCAGGACAACAGUCCCAGGUUCAUCAUCUACAGAAAAGAACCUAAGGAGACCCGUCUAAUCCAGCAUCCUCUUCGCCCAGGGCCCAACUAGAUGCUCCAAAAGGAAACUGCCAAGCAGGAUUUGCACCCAGAGCCACCCAGAGCCCUCUCCUCCUCCUCCUCCUCCUCCUCCUCCUCCAUGAAUUUGUCCAACCCUCUUUUAAAGCCAUCCAGGUUGGUGGCCAUGGCUGCUUCCUGUGGCAGGGAGUUCCACAGUUAAACUCUGUGCUGCGUGAAUAAGUCCCGUCUUUUAUCUGACCUGAAUCUUCCAACAUUCAGCUUCACUGCAUGUCUACAAGUUCUGGUGUUUUGAGAGAGGCAUAAUUUUAUAAACUUCUAGCAUGUCGCCUCGAACUCGCCUUUCCUCUAGACUCAAAAUGCUGCAACUCUCAGGGGAGUCGCUCCUCUCGCUCAGUCAUUUUGGAUGCCCUUUUCCGAACCUUUUCAAAUUCUACAAUAUCCUUUUUGGAUAUUGUAGAAUUUGAAAAUAUCCAGAACUGUACGCAGUACUCCAAACUGAGUUACACCAUAGAUUUGUGCCCCUCAGUUUUCUGGCUCUCAAGCGCUAACAAUCACUUCCUGAAAAUGAAUCCCAAACCACUUGUUGUUGUUGUUGUCGUCUAAAAGUCUGGCUGCCAAGAGAGCAUAUUUGUAAGAUUCAGUAGUCCUCACUCCUGGGGGUUUGGUUCCUCCCCUGCAAAAAUUUCCCCUUAGGGGUUCAAGUAUGGUGCCUUCACACUAAUAUUCCCAGUUGGUCAGACAUUAUUCAGUACUGCAUUGCAGGACAGAGUUCAAGGAGUCUGUUGAUCUACAUUAGCUGUGAUCUACAUUGGGCAAGAGAUUCCCGCAUUGCAGGCGGUUGGGCCCUUGGGGACCCUUCCUAACCUUGUCGUGAGGAUGAAAUGGGGAGGAGGAGACCCAUGUAAAGCACUUUGAGCUCCUUGCAGGGGAAAAGGUGGCACAGAAAUGUAAUAAAUAAAUAAACUCCAUGAUUCUAUGAUUCCCGCAUUUGGGGUUGGGCUGGAUGACCCUCGGGGUCCCUUAAAUGAUAUUAUCAUUUAGCUGUGACUCCUGCAUUACAAGGGGCUGGCCAUCAUCAUAAUAAUAAUAAUAAUAAUGAUGAUGAUGUUUUAUUUAUACCCCGCCCUCCCUGGCCAGAGCCGGGCUCAGGGCAGCUAACACCAAUAAAAUAAAAUCACAGUAAAAACAUAAUAGGGGAAAAGAGAGGGAGAAAAAAAACCAAUUUAAAAUACAGGUUAAAAUGUAAUUUAAAAUGCAGCCUCAUUUCAAAAGUACCCAUAGAUCAAAACCAUAAGGGGAGGGAAACAUAAGGGUCAGACUGAGUCUAAACCAAAGGCCAGGCGGAACAGCUCUGUCUUGCAGGCCCUGCGGAAAGAUGUCAAGUCCCGCAGGGCCCUAGUCUCUUGGGACAGAGCGUUUCAUCAAGUCGGGGCCAGUAGUGAAAAGGCCCUGGCCCUAGUUGAGACCAACCUAACCACCUUGAGACCUGGGACCUCCAAAGUGUUGUCAUUUGUGGACCUUAAGGUCCUCCGCGGGGCAUACCAGGAGAGGGGGUCCCGUAGGUACGUGGGUCCUAGGCCGCAUAGGGCUUCAAAGGUCAAAACCAGCACCUUAAACCUGACCCUGUACUUCACCGGGAGCCAGUGCAGUUGGUAAAGAUGACCCCUGGACCUCUCUUCCAUGCCAUGAUAUUUCCUGGGGGAGACUAACCAGCCCAAAGCCCAGCGGCCCAGGAAGGCUGAGUCGCUGCUGGGGAAGAAAUGGAAAAGUGGGUGGGAAGAGGAAGGGAAUGGAGUGUCCUGGGAAAGGAUGCCGAGUGGGAAGAUCUCAGGUGGGCGUCUAAGAGAGUUCAGCUGAACGGGGCCACAUGGGGUCUGCAACUCAUCUCCUCUACCGAGUCUUAAACCGUUUGCGUUCAGGUGUCCUUUGACCAGCUACGAUUGGUUCAACAGCCAUUCCUGGACCAGGGAAGCCUUGCCACGGUGGUUCAUGCACUGAUGACUUCAGGACUGAGUUACUGCCAUGCGCUCUAUGUGGAGCUUCCCCCGUGUCUGAUCCAGAAGCUGUAGCGAGUGCGGGAUGCGGCAGCACAAUUGCUGGCCACAGUGAGACCUCGUCUGCAUAGGAAGUCUGGGCUCAGAGGUCUGGUUACCCGUUUGAGUUCAAGCCAUUAAUCUGAGCCCGUGGGGAGGGGUCUCUUUCUGCUCCUCUGGGCAGCCUGUCCAUCUUUGAGAGUUAAUAUAGGAUGGAUAUGAUAGGAAGUGAUGUUUCCACCAUAAGCGGGAGAAAGAGAGCUGCUGCCCUCCCUCACAGGGGUGGCUGUGGACUUGCUCAAGAAAACUGCCCGCCUCGGGGGCAAGGGAGGAUGAGUUUGGAGCCCCUCCCUCCUGGGAGAAGCAUGCGACCAGUGGGCGGAGCCUCUGCGCACACCUGGGGGGCCCUCCUCCCUCCCUCCAGAAUCCCAACUGCCACCUGCCACCUGAGCUGUGGGGGGGUGGGGGUGUCCAGCUUGUUCAAAUCUGCUCAGAAACGGUUAGCGUUAGAAAGAAUGUGUAUGGUGGUAAAUGUUUUGGAAGAUUUAACAAAAAUUAUAUGGGGGGGGAGGGAAACGGUUAGUGGAGAGGGAGGACCCCUACGAAGAGAGGUUGUGGGGAGCAUUGAAGGGACAGAAUACCCAAAUCCUGUCUGUGAAAUCACCCCAGGCUUCAAUAAUCAUACCAGGCCUCAAAACUGUCCAAAAUUCCUUUUGUCUUCUAAAAAUCCAAAACAGCUUUUCUCUGCUUGUCUCUGCUUAUUCUCACAAAAUGCUGUGCAUAGGCAAAAUGUUACUUUUAAAGGCUAAUGAAUAGGCUCUGGCAUUGCCAAGAAUACUCAGGCCUGGGAAAUGAAUCUUAUCUCAUUCGGUUGCAACAUCUUGGACAUGCUGAACCACCAGGGCUCCUCGACCCCUUGGCUCUCACUCCCCUUUCCUGGGAAGGGUGCCAAGAGUCCACAAUAGUCCCAAGACAGCUUUCUGUUCAUGCUCAAAGGAACUCAUGGGCAGGACUCUGGAAGGAGGAGGAGAAAGGAGGAGGGAACUGGAAAGGGGUAUAUAUGUUUGUGCACAUGACUGUGAACUUUGUGCAUGCUUUUUGUGGACUAUCACACUUGCUCCUUCUACCAGUUCAUGGAUGGUAGAAAUAAAACCUUUUUCUCCGAAACUAUUCCUUGAGUGUCUGUUGACUCCCACUUCCCUUUCCCAGGCGCAAUGUUUUUCCCACCCGAGGGCAAAGCCUCAUAAGGCUACAGCAUCAGUGUAAGGGGGUGGGGGGCAGGACAACAGUCCCAGGUUCAUCAUCUACAGAAAAGAACCUAAGGAGACCCGUCUAAUCCAGCAUCCUCUUCGCCCAGGGCCCAACUAGAUGCUCCAAAAGGAAACUGCCAAGCAGGAUUUGCACCCAGAGCCCUCUCCUCCUCCAUGAAUUUGUCCAACCCUCUUUUAAAGCCAUCCAGGUUGGUGGCCAUGGCUGCUUCCUGUGGCAGGGAGUUCCACAGUUAAACUCUGUGCUGCGUGAAUAAGUCCCGUCUUUUAUCUGACCUGAAUCUUCCAACAUUCAGCUUCACUGCAGGUCCACAAGUUCUGGUGUUUUGAGAGAAGCAUAAUUUUAUAAACUUCUAGCAUGUCGCCUCGAACUCGCCUUUCCUCUAGACUCAAAAUGCUGCAAUUCUCAGGGGAGUCGCUCCUCUCGCUCAGUCAUUUUGGAUGCCCUUUUCCGAACCUUUUCAAAUUCUACAAUAUCCUUUUUGGAUAUUGUAGAAUUUGAAAAUAUCCAGAACUGUACGCAGUACUCCAAACUGAGUUACACCAUAGAUUUGUGCCCUCAGUUUUCUGGCUCUCAAGCGCUAACAAUCACUUCCUGAAAAUGAAUCCCAAACCACUUGUUGUUGUUGUCGUCUCAAAAGUCUGGCUGCCAAGAGAGCAUAUUUGUAAGAUUCAGUAGUCCUCACUCCUGGGGUUUGGUUCCUCCCCUGCAAAAAUUUCCCCUUAGGGGUUCAAGUAUGGUGCCUUCACACUAAUAUUCCCAGUUGGUCAGACAUUAUUCAGUACUGCAUUGCAGGACAGAGUUCAAGGAGUCUGUUGAUCUACAUUAGCUGUGAUCUACAUUGGGCAAGAGAUUCCCGCAUUGCAGGCGGUUGGGCCCUUGGGGACCCUUCCUAACCUUGUCGUGAGGAUGAAAUGGGGAGGAGGAGACCCAUGUAAAGCACUUUGAGCUCCUUGCAGGGGAAAAGGUGGCACAGAAAUGUAAUAAAUAAAUAAACUCCAUGAUUCUAUGAUUCCCGCAUUUGGGGUUGGGCUGGAUGACCCUCGGGGUCCCUUAAAUGAUAUUAUCAUUUAGCUGUGACUCCUGCAUUACAAGGGGCUGGCCAUCAUCAUAAUAAUAAUAAUAAUGAUGAUGAUGUUUUAUUUAUACCCCGCCCUCCCUGGCCAGAGCCGGGCUCAGGGCAGCUAACACCAAUAAAAUAAAAUCACAGUAAAAACAUAAUAGGGGAAAAGAGAGGGAGAAAAAAAACCAAUUUAAAAUACAGGUUAAAAUGUAAUUUAAAAUGCAGCCUCAUUUCAAAAGUACCCAUAGAUCAAAACCAUAAGGGGAGGGAAACAUAAGGGUCAGACUGAGUCCAAACCAAAGGCCAGGCGGAACAGCUCUGUCUUGCAGGCCCUGCGGAAAGAUGUCAAGUCCCGCAGGGCCCUAGUCUCUUGGGACAGAGCGUUUCAUCAAGUCGGGGCCAGUAGUGAAAAGGCCCUGGCCCUAGUUGAGACCAACCUAACCACCUUGAGACCUGGGACCUCCAAAGUGUUGUCAUUUCUGGACCUUAAGGUCCUCCGCAGGGCAUACCAGGAGAGGGGGUCCCGUAGGUACGUGGGUCCUAGGCCGCAUAGGGCUUCAAAGGUCAAAACCAGCACCUUAAACCUGACCCUGUACUUCACCGGGAGCCAGUGCAGUUGGUAAAGAUGACCCCUGGACAUCUCUUCCAUGCCAUGAUAUUUCCUGGGGGAGACUAACCAGCCCAAAGCCCAGCGGCCCAGGAAGGCUGAGUCGCUGCUGGGGAAGAAAUGGAAAAGUGGGUGGGAAGAGGAAGGGAAUGGAGUGUCCUGGGAAAGGAUGCCGAGUGGGAAGAUCCCAGGUGGGCGUCUAAGAGAGUUCAGCUGAACGGGGACACAUGGGGUCUGCAACUCAUCUCCUCUACCGAGUCUUAAACCGUUUGCGUUCAGGUGUCCUUUGACCAGCUACGAUUGGCCCAACAGCCAUUCCUGGACCAGGGAAGCCUUGCCACGGUGGUUCAUGCACUGAUGACUUCAGGACUGAGUUACUGCCAUGCGCUCUAUGUGGAGCUUCCCCCGUGUCUGAUCCAGAAGCUGUAGCGAGUGCGGGAUGCAGCAGCACAAUUGCUGGCCACAGUGAGACCUCGUCUGCAUAGGAAGUCUGGGCUCAGAGGUCUGGUUACCCGUUUGAGUUCAAGCCAUUAAUCUGAGCCCGUGGGGAGGGGUCUCUUUCUCCUCCUCUGGGCAGCCUGUCCAUCUUUGAGAGUUAAUAUAGGAUGGAUAUGACAGGAAGUGAUGUUUCCACCAUAAGCGGGAGAAAGAGAGCUGCUGUCCUCCCUCGCAGGGGUGGCUGUGGACCUGCUCAAGAAAACUGCCCGCCUCGGGGGCAAGCCCCUCCCUCCUGGGAGAAGCAUGCGACCAGUGGGCGGAGCCUCUGCGCACACCUGGGGGGCCCUCCUCCCUCCCUCCAGAAUCCCAACUGCCACCUGCGACCUGAGCUGUGGGGGGGUGGGGGUGUCCAGCUUGUUCACAUCUGCUCAGAAACGGUUAGCGUUAAAAAGAAUGUGUAUGGUGGUAAAUGUUUUGGAAGAUUUAACAAAAAUGAUAUGGGGGGGGGAGGGAAACGGUUAGUGGAGAGGGAGGACCCCUACGAAGAGAGGUUGUGGGGAGCAUUGAAGGGACAGAAUACCCAAAUCCUGUCUGUGAAAUCACCCCAGGCUUCAAUAAUCAUACCAGGCCUCAAAACUGUCCAAAAUUCCUUUUGUCUUCUAAAAAUCCAAAACAGCUUUUCUCUGCUUGUCUCUGCUUAUUCUCACAAAAUGCUGUGCAUAGGCAAAAUGUUACUUUUAAAGGCUAAUGAAUAGGCUCUGGCAUUGCCAAGAAUACUCAGGCCUGGGAAAUGAAUCUUAUCUCAUUCGGUUGCAACAUCUUGGACAUGCUGAACCACCAGGGCUCCUCGACCCCUUGGCUCUCACUCCCCUUUCCUGGGAAGGGUGCCAAGAGUCCACAAUAGUCCCAAGACAGCUUUCUGUUCAUGCUCAAAGGAACUCAUGGGCAGGACUCUGGAAGGAGGAGGAGAAAGGAGGAGGGAACUGGAAAGGGGUAUAUAUGUUUGUGCACAUGACUGUGAACUUUGUGCAUGCUUUUUGUGGACUAUCACACUUGCUCCUUCUACCAGUUCAUGGAUGGUAGAAAUAAAACCUUUUUCUCCGAAACUAUUCCUUGAGUGUCUGUUGACUCCCACUUCCCUUUCCCAGGCGCAAUGUUUUCCCCACCCGAGGGCAAAGCCUCAUAAGGCUACAGCAUCAGUGUAAGGGGGUGGGGGGCAGGACAACAGUCCCAGGUUCAUCAUCUACAGAAAAGAACCUAAGGAGACCCGUCUAAUCCAGCAUCCUCUUCGCCCAGGGCCCAACUAGAUGCUCCAAAAGGAAACUGCCAAGCAGGAUUUGCACCCAGAGCCACCCAGAGCCCUCUCCUCCUCCUCCUCCUCCUCCUCCUCC